GCAAGUCGAGGGGUAACAUUGUACUUGCUACAGAUGACGACCGGCGCACGGGUGCGUAACGCGUAUAGAAUCUGCCUCAUACUGAGGGAUAGCCUUUGGAAACGAAGAUUAAUACCUCAUAGUAUAUCGACUCGGCAUCGGGAUGAUAUUAAAGGUUACGGUAUGAGAUGACUAUGCGUCCUAUUAGCUUGUUGGUAAGGUAACGGCUUACCAAGGCUACGAUAGGUAGGGGCCCUGAGAGGGGGAGC
rnacentral:rRNA from 1 species